GUAUAAUAGUAGUGGUUUUUAGGAUUUAAAAACCACGAUAUGGACCACGCUCUGAUUGGCUUAUUUAUUUUUCAUUUUUGUUAUCUAUCAUACAAUUGGUUCUUAAUGUAACUCGGAUUUAUUCUACGAAAAAGAGAAUUUCCGAAGUGUACUUUCUGUUUCGAUUUCACGUUAUAUUUAUACUGCUGUUAACUGACGGGACCAAGAAAACAACAAGGAAGAUUGGGAAAAGGCGAAGAAGCUGGUGAAUAAAAUGUUGGAAAAUGGUGAGACCGUGGUGUCAAUUAUAUUGAACAAAGAAACCAAGUCCAUUGAGUUUUGAAGUAAGCACACAAAUGAAUGUGUAGGGCUUAAAAUACAUCAGCCCAGCACAUCCAGGUUUAAACAUCCUCAGGCUAUUCUUCAGGGUGUUUAGAACAGAACAAUGCAAGUUGCUAAAAGACUGCCAAUGGCUGACAAGAGAAAUGUAUGACAUAAUGGGAUGCCAUUAGCUGGUACAAUUGUCAUGGAGAAUAAGGUGUUCAGCGUGUGGCAGGUGGUCACACUUUUAAUGUGUCAAUACAACAACACAUGAGGGACAUGUAGUAUAAUAGAAAAUGAAAGCGACAAUUUAUGUAAAAAAGAAAUAUUUUUUUUUAUGCCCCACCUACAUUAGUAGAGGUGCAUUACAUUUUCUAGUCUGUUCGUUUGUCCGUCUGUCCCGCUUCAGGUUAAAGUUUUUAGUCAAGGUAGAUUUUGAUGAAGUUGAAGUCCAAUCAACUUGUUACUUAGUACACAUGUUCCCUAUGAUAUAAUCUUCCUAAUUUUAAUGCCAAAUUAGAGUUUUGACCCCAAUUUCACGGUCCACAUAGAAAAUGAUAGUGCAAGUGAGGCAUCCAUGUACUAUGGACACAUUCUUGUUUUUAUAUGCAUACAUUUUCAGUGAUGUAUUUAAGCUAAAAAGUUUGUUGUAAUUAGAACAUCUUAAUAAUCCAUAUCUCAAUUGAUUUUGAACAGCACAAAUUUCUUAGAUAUUUAUGUAAUUGAUACAAAAUUGAUUUUUCAUGUGACAGGAAAUGCUGAAAUACAACCAGGGGAUAAAUUUAGAAAAUAAAUAUUUGUGAAUCUUU